AAUAUUGGACAAUGGGGGCAACCCUGAUCCAGCCAUGCCGCGUGUGUGAAGAAGGUCUUCGGAUUGUAAAGCACUUUAAGUUGGGAGGAAGGGCUUUAGGUUAAUACCCUGAAGUUUUGACGUUACCAACAGAAUAAGCACCGUCUAACUCUGUGCCAGCAGCCGCGGUAAUAAAGAGGGUGCAAGUGUUAAUCGGAAUUACUGGGCGUAAAGCACGCGUAGGUGGUUCAGUAAGAAGGGUGUGAAAACCCCGGGCUUAACCUGGGAACUGCUUUCAUAACUGCUGAGCAAGAGUACGGUAGAGGGUAGUGGAAUUUCCUGUGUAGCAGUGAAAUGCGUAGAUAUAGGAAGGAACACCAGUGGCGAAGGCGACUACCUGGACUGAUACUGACACUGAGGUGCGAAAGCGUGGGGAGCAAAC
rnacentral:rRNA from 1 species